AAAAGUGCUUGUUGUCAAUCUCUUUUAUUAAAAAAAACAGUGAUUAGCAAAUCAUUAACAUACAAUAACUGUGAUUUACUCCAAUCACGUUUCAGAGGUAAAUUACCAGAACCUAAAUAACAGAGCCAUCAAAAAACAAGUGACUAUAGGAAGACUACUAUAUGCAAAGCUAUCUGUUCAUCAAACAACACAUGAUUAACAACAGCAAACAUUUUUGUUUUACAAACAGUAUGUCUGAUUUUAAUUUUUCACGCAAUUAUUUAACAAGUCAAAUAAACUAUUUUAUUUUUAUCUUUACACCUGCAGUUUAUCAAAUAUAAUACAAGUACAUAAGAUAAGCAAACGUGUUAAAAACGAAGUUUGAAAUGGCUUUUAUUUGGUAAAAUGUUGCACGCAGCGCGCAGUCGUCAGGAUUGUCACAUGGGUCGUGACGCACUCGAGCAUAUAAAUGCGCAUGCGCGCUCGUAGUCGUUCUCUCUCUUCGUCGGCACGUGCUUAUGUGCACGUUUGUGAAGGCUGUGUGCUGAUUUAUUGUUAAACACGAUGCGUGCAUCCAAAAUCCGAUCGCAACGGAUCCAAACCACCGUGAUCGACACUGGAUGAUAUAUGAUGGAGUCUUACUCGCGCGUUUAAAGCUCUUACUGUAGAGAUGAUCUUCACCCGAAUAUUGAUCAGAUGAAUCGAGAGCUUCUGCUGGAGCCGGUCCGAGGUGUUUGGUGCCAAAACAUGUUCGUGUGAACUAAACCACAGUUUCUGGCCCAGAAUCCUUCCGUUGUUUUGGGAAGUGAAAAAUCCUUUAAAGUGACCAUGAUGACUGAUGGAGAGAUGUCAAACAGACCACAACAAAACUCAAAUUCUUGUAUUUAUUAAAGUAUCAAAGUUGUUAAUAAAGAGU